rnacentral:rRNA from 1 species
CCCUUAGAUGUUCUGGGCCGCACGCGCGCUACACUGUUCGACGCAGCGAGUCUUAACCUUGACCGAAAGGUUUGGGUAAUCUUCAGCAAAGUCGAACGUGAUGGGGAUCGAUCAUUGCAAUUAUUGAUCAUGAACGAGGAAUUCCUAGUAAGUGCAAGUCAUCAGCUUGCGCUGAUUACGUCCCUGCCCUUUGUACACACCGCCCGUCGCUACUACCGAUUGAAUGGUUUAGUGAGAUCUCUGGAUUGACGCUGGCUAGGGGGCGACCCUUGGCCAGGCUGUCGAGAAACUGCUCAAACUUGAUCAUUUAGAGGAAGUAAAAGUCGUAACA